CCUACGGGUGGCAGCAGUGAGGAAUAUUGGUCAAUGGCCGAGAGGCUGAACCAGCCAAGUCGCGUGAGGGAAGACGGCCCUACGGGUUGUAAACCUCUUUUGUCGGGGAGCAAAGCGAUUCACGUGUGACUCAUUGAGAGUACCCGAAGAAAAAGCAUCGGCUAACUCCGUGCCAGCAGCCGCGGUAAUACGGAGGAUGCGAGCGUUAUCCGGAUUUAUUGGGUUUAAAGGGUGCGCAGGCGGAGGUGCAAGUCAGCGGUAAAAUUGCGGGGCUCAACCCCGUACUGCCAUUGAGACUGCAUCCCUAGAGUACGCGAGAAGUAGGCGGAAUGAGUGGUGUAGCGGUGAAAUGCAUAGAUAUCACGCAGAACUCCGAUUGCGAAGGCAGCAUACCAGCGCGCAACUGACGCUGAUGCACGAGAGCGUGGGUAUCGAACAGGAUUAGAUACCCUUGUAGUC
rnacentral:rRNA from 1 species